rnacentral:ncRNA from 1 species
CACUCUGGAGACAUCUGCGUAUGGCAGAGGCCGAAGGUGCAAGGGGUGGAAACACCGAAUCUCUCAGGCAAAAGGACAGAGUU